rnacentral:rRNA from 1 species
CACGAACGCUGGCGGCAGGCUUAACACAUGCAAGUCAAGCGCCCCGCAAGGGGAGCGGCAGACGGGUGAGUAACGCGUGGGAAUCUACCCAUCUCUACGGAAUAACGCAUGGAAACGUGUGCUAAUACCGUAUACGUCCUUCGGGAGAAAGAUUUAUCGGAGAUGGAUGAGCCCGCGUUGGAUUAGCUAGUUGGUGGGGUAAAGGCCUACCAAGGCGACGAUCCAUAGCUGGUCUGAGAGGAUGAUCAGCCACACUGGGACUGAGGCACGGCCCAGACUCCUACGGGAGGCAGCAGUGGGGAAUAUUGGACAAUGGGCGCAAGCCUGAUCCAGCCAUGCCGCGUGAGUGAUGAAGGCCCUAGGGUUGUAAAGCUCUUUCACCGGUGAAGAUAAUGACGGUAACCGGAGAAGAAGCCCCGGCUAACUUCGUGCCAGCAGCCGCGGUAACAC